ACCGUUGCCGGAAGCCGGACGCCGGCGGAAGCGAAACUGUCUUCGACCGCGCGUCGAAGCAGUGUACCGGGCGGCUGGAACACCCAGUCGUAGGCCGGGAGGUCGUGGGCGCUGGCUGACGCCUUG
rnacentral:sRNA from 1 species